UAAAGGGGCAACCCCAGGUGAAAGAGAGUGAUAGUACUGAGGCUGGUGCAAGGAGUCCCUAUAUAAGGUGAAUUCUUAGCCAUGCAGAGUACAGUUCCACAGGAGCAGGUCGUUAUGACAACCUGAGAGGAAGAAAAAAGGCAAAUAUAUUGAUGCAACAUACCCAGUGGUACAGCACACUGCAAAAAGGGAAUGGCUGUUCUGCAGUGAGAAAGGCAAUCUUGCAGCUCCUGGAAUAUAAAAAACAUCUGAAAGGUGCCUGUCUUUGCUUGGAGGAUUUUUUAUUUUUUUUUAUUUUUUUAUUUUUUUUUGGGUUCCCCAGCAUUUUUCCAGCAUUUUAAAAUCAGGAAUGUUUACUGUGGGAAACUAUUAAUGAAGCCCAGUGGAAUGGUGACAGGAGGGUAUCAACAGGAGGAGAAAAAUUAGAAGAAAAGCAAAAUUGUGACUCCCUGUAAAGGUGUAAAUAUGGAGCUACUGAGCCAUAGCUGUUCCUUGGAGCAGCAGCUGGCAGCACUACCUCCCAUCCGUGCCGAGUGGGAUGUGCAGCAGAAGCCAGGGCUGUAAAGCCUUCCACCUGUUUUUGAAAACUUUGGACAUUCUGGUCAGAAGUGUGGAAUGAUAUUGAGAAGAACAGCUGAGUUGUCUACCUGUGGACCUUCUGCAUUUGUGAUUUGUUGGCCUACAUCACUUGAUAGAGCUGAUUUCAUUGCAUUAGCCACCUUGCACUGAGAACUGUGUUCUUUCAGGAGGAAAAGUCUUUAUCAUGUCAACAUGUAUUGCCUUUAGGCUUAGUCUUUACUGGGGAUAUUAAACUACUUAAAAUUCUGGAAACAUUUGUGAACAAGGCACAUAAACACAUUAAGACAUCCUCGAACAAUUUACAAAUAGUUUAAUUAAGGUUUGGAAUAGCUUACCUUUUGCAGAUUUAAUAGCCAACUAAAACUGUGGUGUUUGAAACUGAGUUCAGUGCCAAACUGGAAAUUAAUUUUUUUCACCAAAUCACACAAAAUUGUGUGCUCACAGCUCAUCAGAAGCCUCAUGAAAGAUUCAUCAUUCCCAGGAAUAGGAAAUUCUCAGAAAAGGCUACAGAUGAAUGUUGGAAGUAAGAGGACAAAACUUAAAUUUCAGCACGUUGUGUUUAUACAAAGCUAGUUCAGCUGAUUCGGUUACAAUCCAUUCAUUCCUGUUGUGUAAGCAUGGCCCAACUCAGAUAUGAAAGUGGAGUUGUUUUUCUGAAACCCCAUCCCACCAAACCUCACAGCUGCAUCUUUUUAUCUUCCAGUGUGGUUUUGGACAGCCGUAAAUAGAAAGCAUACAGAUCUCCAUCUCUGGUUGCUAGUUGUAACCUAGCAAUGGCUGUAAAAGACUGCAGAACCUGUAUGCAGCUGAAUCUUUUGAGUUCCUCCAUAUUAUCUACUUUGCAUUGUGUAUUCAUGGUGCUUUCAGGUUGUGUUUUUUGUUUUUUGUUUUUUCCAGAAACUGAUCCUGCCAGUGUCACCUUGCAAGAAAAAAAAAGCCACAACACCUGAAAGCAGGGAGACAAAGUCUCUCAAACUUCACUGUAUCUAUUUUGAAAAUGAAAUACUUUGUAUGUUUUUAUAACUUGUGAGGAAAAGCAACUCUUCCUAAGGACUACAUAAAACUCUGCAGUCCUCUGUCUGCUUAACAGUCAAGAGAAGAGGGCUUAAAAUUCAUGUUAAAACAAAAAUGACAACAGAACUGCAGAGGUAACAACUCCACUGAAACAUGGAGUCACCCGAGGAAGAUAGAAGUGGCAAUAGCCUGGAAAAUAAAUCUGGGACAUCAUGCUUUGGACAUCCAGUAAAGAUGAGGAAGCAGUACAGGAUCGUGCCAUGGUUGGGCACAGCCUUGAUGCCCUGUGAGAGGCUAAGACAUGAAUGAGAGAGAUAUGAAUGCUCUUUGCUUACUGAGGAUUUCAGGAAACUGUACAAGAUGGAACUCCCUGGAUUUUCUCACACCAGAAGAGACUUAUCUUGCAGAGAGAGAAGAAUGUGAAGUCUCUGAUCCAGCCCUAGACAAAGAGCUAUUCUUAAGUAACGUGUGGAGAGGAGCUGAACGUAUGGUGUUUGACCCUACAAUGAAAUUACUGCUAGAUGAAUCCAGAGAAUUGCCGUGUGAUUUUGAAUUAGAGCAUCUCCAUCUACAAAGCUGAGAGGCUCCACUGAAAGACAAAGGCAUUUAAUGAUGUCAGUAGGAUUUAUCCAGAAAAGAUGUACAGGAUCCAGUGUUGCACCUUGGAUCAUGCCUGAGUACCUUGGGAAAGAACACACAAAACUGCUCACACUGGGGAAAAGACAACAACUUGAUACCAGGAGUUCUCAUGAUUUUUCAGCCAUGAGUCCAUCUGGGAAUAAUUUCACUGUGAGAAGAAGGCUUCCAUUCUAUCAAGAAAAAAGGCUGCAUGGAAAUCACGGAAAGCUACAGAAGAAAUUAUCAGUCAUUGUUUAAAAGCAUUGUGGCCUGUGAAGAUGGAAACCAGAAUGGGAAUUUGCCUCCAAAUUUUAUAAGCUUCUAGAAACUAAAAUGAUGAGAAACAAAUGCAAAAAGUUCACAAAAGUACUAGUUACUUAAAAAAAGAAUUAAAAAUUCUUAAGGCCUUAUUGUUUUAUGAUGAAUAAAUCUGACUAGAAGGACCCAGAAGGCCAUCGUUUAAACAGGUAGAGAUAUUCCUAGUAUGUUUAGGUUGCCACCUAGAUUAGUCUUAUACUUCUCAGUUGCUAACAAUGAAGUUAUCAGCCACUGGAACAAAUUAUUAAGAGGAACAGUUAGCUUACCAUUUCUUGAAGUCUUCAAACUGAGAGUGAAUGGUAUGUUUUAGCAAACAAUGGAGACACAGCUGGGUGAAAUUAUAUGGUUGUACUAGAGAGCAGGAAACAUGAGAUGUUCUAUGUGGUCCUUUCUAGCCUUAAGAGCUAUAGAUCUAUAAUUUCACAAAUACCAUUACAAAGAAUUCCUUAGAAGUAGUGAUGACCAUAGCAAUAAUCUGAAUCCGUCUCUUGAUUUGGGGUAGAUUAUUCUAAAGAACUUUGAAAAAUUACAGGCUACAGUACUUUUUCUAUGUGGUACUGUCACUACAGGGUCGUGUAACUAGCAUAAAGGGGGCACUUUGUAAUUUUACAGUAUUAGAAAUCCGUUUUUGUGGACUAAAGAGACCCUUCUUCUCUCCAAAAGAGCUCAUUGUACUUCAGUUCAUGAAUGAGUGUAUAAACAAGUAAGCAUGUGUGCUGCUUUCCUGUGUGAUGCAUUUCUCUUACUAAAAUGUGUUAGAUUCACUUAGUGAAAUUAAAAAAUAUCCACAGAGGAAAUUAGAAGAUAUCACUCAUUAACACAGGCUAUUUCUAAGCUAAACUAAUUUUUUACUUGUAGGGUGACCUGAGACACUGCUUAAAAGAGAACCCUUUGCCAUAGCCAGUCUUCCAUUGGAGGACAGCUAAAUCAUUGUUUUCCAUAUUUCCAACAACUUUUGUCAUUUAUCAAGUAGAAAGGGGUAGGUUAGAAAUUAAUUUUAUUAGUUCACUGAGCCUCUUUUCUUUACAUCUGUCUGGGAGAAUAAUUCACCGUUGCUGAGGAACUGGUUGUGUUGAUGGGACAAAAUCUGAUGCCUUCAAGAAAGGAUUAUAAAUUAACCUUCUUUAAAACGUCUAUUUGACUUUUAUAACUGGUGAAGAGUGCUGGAUUUUUAUUUUCUAAAUGGCAAUACUUGUACAUGGUUGCAGUCUACUGGAGACAAGUGCUUUUUGUGAUCUGUCUGAAUGGAUAACCUGUUUUGCUGAGUAGAAACUAAUGCACAAGCUACCUUGCAGCCAGUGACUGAGGAGACCUCUAUAGCUAAACAGAAGCACCAAGGUUUGGCUGGGACUGAAAAGUUGAUCUUGAUUGGAAGGAAGAAAGUCUGGCAAAAUGGAGCAUCACUGAUAUUUUAUUUCCAGUGAAGAGGCACCAUUGAUGUUCAGCUCUGUGUAUGAAAAUAGCAUCUUCAAAGUCACAGAAGAAACAGCCAAAAGUGAAUCCACAUUAAAUUCCAGUAGAGGACAAAUAAAGAAAAGAUAGAUCUUAUGCACUUUGGAGGAUUACAUUUAGGUCCAUUUGCGUUGCUGGAAGAGAGCUCUGUACACCUGUGAGGUUUCAAGUAACAUACAAUAUAAAGCGAGUAAAGAAACGCAAACAUCCUUACCAUCAAGAAGGCAAGGCGGGGCAGUACUGAAGGGAUUAUUCUAGCAACUCCUGAAAUGCAAAACCUUCAGUGGCAAGAGAGAAGAGGCAGUCUUAUGACUACAGCUCUGACCUGAAGGACAUGCUCUCUCCAAGUAUGACUUCAUUCAAGUAGUAAGACCAAGAACUGCAUUGAAAAACAGGAAGAUUGGCCGUAGGCAGACAGGGAAAAAACCUGUGGUGAAAGGAUAUUCAGAAAAUCAUCAUGAUUCUCUACAAGAUCCUUUGAGGAACUCCACUACAAGAAAACAAAAAUUAUAUACUGUAACUGGGUGAUAUUUUUGUAAUGGAUUGGUUCUUCAUCAUCUGGUUUGCCAGCCCAUUUCAGCCACGAGAGUAUAUUUGUUAUGAGCACCUCAUUUCAUCAGUUAGGAAGUAACCUGUUGUUGACUUCUACACCCUGGUUCCUCUGGAAAAUAUGAAAUGAAGCUGUUGUUCCUGAUAUUUCUUGAGUAUGGAAUUUCCCUUAGGAAUACUGAAUUUAGACCAGCCUCCUGACCACUCUGGGGUUUGUCAGAGAGCAAACAAUUCUCUUGCCCAAGCAAGAUGGCUCCCACCUCCCGCAGAAAUGGCUCAUGAGGAACACUACAGCCUCCAACUAAAAUGUAACUCUAGUUUGUCCUUCACGUGUGAAGCCAAUAAGGAUUCUCUACCACAGUUUUUGAACAUAUUUCCAAGUAUGGCAGGGCUCAGUGGCAGGCACAUAAUAGGACUUUUGGCAUGUAUUAGACUGUGCUCAACAACUCUGCUCUCUGAUCCAAACAUGCCCACCAAAAAUAACUUCAGUGAACAGCUUUUAUUUUAAUUAUUCCAGCGUGGGACUCAUGAAGUUUUGCCAACAGUCUGGUUUGUAAAGCUUUUUGUGUCUAAGCACAGAAACCCAUAGUGUGUAGUUAACUCCCCACUGGGAUUUUCCUGAUCCAGGCAUGGGUCUGUUCUGCAACCUCAUCUUUCUUUACCUAUCUCUUGCUUUUAAUGCUGUUUACUCCAUUGACUCUUUGAAAUCUCACCUUCUUUGCUUUUGUGACUGUUCAUUCUCAACUUUCUCUUCUAAUUUUCUGUUUUCUCAUUCAGCUUCACUUUUAGUGGCUGUUGGUGGAUACUUGGCGGUUCCCUCAUAGUUCUGAUCUCUGCAGGGCACUUGGUAAGCUCUGUGUGUGGUUCCCCUCUUUCCCUUCUCUGCUCUGUGCCCAGCCUACUGAGAGUAUAACAACCAAACAACUACAUUUUUGCCAGCGACUUGGAAAUCUGCCUUUUCCUAACCGAUCUGUUUCUUUUUGUCACUGAAUCUUUCUGAGUUCUUCCCUAUUUGUCUCCCUCUUCCUGUCUCCUUCCCUUCUCACCCAUGUCAUAAACCUUAAAAAAAUAUAAGAAAAAACAUCCCUAUGGUUUUGUGGUAUAAACUUCUCUGUUCUGCAGAACCCUUCCAUGGCCCUGAGUUAUUCUGUCUUUGACUAUUUGUUUAACCCUUUCUUUAUCCAACUCUAAUUUGUUUUGCAAAGAAGCAUAUGCAAUUUGGGACAUGGCAAUGGUGCAGUAUUUAAGUGGUUUCUAUUACCUUGUAAAUAACUUUGGAUAGGCAAUAAAUUGCCACUUUCAGAAAGAGUAGAUGUGAAAGGAAAAAAAAAUAUGGAGUCACUACGAUGUUCAGUUUAGAUUAGGUUUAUUUUUUUUGGUUCAUUUCUUAAACAUGCCAAAAGAAACAGCCUUGGAAGAAAAGAGUGAGAACUUCCCAGAUCAGAAUAACCUAUAGCCUGGCAGUUCUUAGCACAGAUGUGGGUAAUACAGAUUCCUUCAUACCUAGAGGGAAUGGAGUCCAGAGCUCCUGCAGUGGGAGGGAGCACCCCAGCUGUAGUCCUAUUGCGCAAAGCUGCCAGCAACAGCAGCACCUCCUUCUUUCUUUGUUUUUCUGGAGGAGGGUGGAGAUCCUUGACUUGAGAUAGGCAACAAAAUUUCAUAAAGGCUUAAGGUAAUUCCAAUUUUCUCAGCAUUUCCUAAUGGCUAAUUUGGGUAGCUGCUGUUUGGGAUGUUUUCAUUCUUCAGUGCCCAAGCUCUGGCUCACACCAGGCAGGUACAGAUACCUAGGAGUCAGGAGCAGCAAUUUUUUUGGCACUGUGGGACCAAAAUUCUUCUUGUGUCCAGACCAGAAUAUUUAUCUGUAUGUCAGUGAAUGCUUAGCACUACCAUGCCUUAUUCUUUCUUGCCUUGAUAAGUACUAUUAAUAUUAAGAAUGUAGAUGACAUGAUACUUAUUUUUAGCAUUUGCAUAACUUUUUACAUGCUUCAUGUUACAACAUCUAUAACACGGUACUGAAUUGCAUGGAGCAAAACCAGAGGAAUACCUUUAGAACAGCUAAAUUCACACACUAGUGCCAUUGAACUAGAUUAUCUUUUAAGAUUCCUUCCAACUGAACUAUUCUGUUCUGUUAUCGCAUUGAUGCUAAUAAACAAAAUCCUACAAAUUUCAAAAUGUCCUGCCAUCAGUCCAGGAUAUAAUGCUUUGUGAGAAUCUCUUCUCAUUGAAGAUGUUUUCAAACUACUGGAUAUUUACUUGCUGCUCUGUAUUUGACUCAGCCUGAAAUGCAAUAUCCACCUUUGGUCUGUACCCUGGUCCUGCUACCUUCCUUUCUGUGAAUAUGCAGUGGGGACUAUGCAGUGGGAGACUGUCAAAAGUCUGGAGGUCCCUCAGUCUCAAAUUGCUUUUGAAAUUCUACUUUAGCAUUUCCAUAAGGCCCAUAGAUAUUCUUGGCAAUUUCCAGUAGUCCUUACCCAAAAGCAUUUAGAGUAUAAUUCAGAUGUAGAAUAAUAAAACUAAAAACAGGGAGAAAAAAAGAGUGAAGUAACACUGGAUAUAGUUAGAAGAUCAGUGAGUAUUAGGUAUAAAGGCUUGGAUGGAAGGACACAGUUAUUUUUCUUGAUUCAAUGUGACAGUGUAGGAAAUGUUUCUAGAAGUCAGGAUUGAAUCAGAGGAGGGUUUUAUGUGAAGUCAGAAUGCUUAUUAGAGAAAGAGCUACAAACACUAGACUUUGUUAUCUAGCAUAAAUGGUGAGGAAAAAUGGUUUGCUGAUCUUGUUCUCAUCAGUUUGUUUCUUCCAAGGUACUGGUGCAUUUUCCCAUCUGUGAUUAAAAAUACAGAUAACGAAGAAACUGUUGCCUUACUUUAAGUGCAAAGAAAGCAGAACCAGAAGUUGUGCUUUAUAGGAAGCAGGGGGAUGCUGCAAUAUUUAAGUAUUAGAAAGCAGCUUAAAAAAAAAAAAUUCAUCAUCAGAUUGUCUGAAUUAAUGGAAAAGCUAUUACUUUAAAAAUUUUCAACUUUUAAAAAACAACAACCUCAGAUCUUGUCAGUUUGGUGCCUACUCCCUGGAAAGUCACCAAAUCUCACUUGUUUUGCUUGGGCCUCACUCAAACAUAACUGGCCUCAAGCUAGUAAGCAAGCCAGCAAAUGUCCUGGCUUGUAAAGAAAUCUGAUCCAACUCUGUAAACUGAGCCCAGCCUAAGAGCGGUAGUGAGGGGAACAUAUGGAAAAUUAAUGACAGAUAAUAGAAUGGUGGGACAGCCUUAAAUGAAAAAAAGAUUGUUAUUAAGUUUAUGCAACAAUUCCAGCUAAUGGUCUUUUGGCUGGAGGGUCUUUUGAGCUAAGAAAUUUACAGAAUAGCUAAACAUUCCUUUUCACUUUGCCAGCAACAAAGCUCCAGAAAUGGCUGCUGCUGCUGCACUGCCCUUACCACUUCUGCCUGUUCUUAAUUGACACCUGUAGGAGAAUUACUUUAUAAGCUGGUUCAGCUGCAGCAGCACUUCAGGAAGUACAGUAGUUCUGGUCCCACCUGUUUAAAUAAAUGGGAGCCUCAGGAAAAGGAGUGGAUUGGAAUUUGCUUGGGCUCAAACAGUAUAUGACAGCAAAAGCUAGGCUGAGAACUGCAAGCCUGGCCAAGCACUAGCAUGAGGUGGUAAGGGCAGAAUGGGUGUUUUCUUGUUUUUUUCCUCCACAAACCUCCAGGCGUUUUACAAAGAUAAGCUGCUCAUGGUAUGGUGUCAUGAAUGGGGAAACUGUCCCAGGGAGCUCAUAGUCACACAGCCCUUCUCUGGUGAGGGGAAUGAGUUUCACAGUGAAAAGGGAAGAAUAAGGGAUCGCUUUGAGGGAAGAGUAUAUAUUUCUGGAAUACUUGUAUCCCCUGUUUAUUUGGCUGUUGGCCUGGGGUACUCAUCUAACAUAGACAUGAAACAAUGGUGCCACAUAGUAGUUGUUUUUUUUUGGUUUUUUUUUUUUUCUUUUUUUUAAAAUUGAUUUUAUUUUCUUUUAUUUGUCCAAACUCGAGUUACUGCAGACCAGCUAAGAUGCCAGUCUUCCUGAUUAAAGCCUAAAAUGCCCUUCUUCCUUCCCAUUUUCCUCACAGUGGAGGACCAUGAAGCUGCCUUUACUUGCUGAGUAACUCAGGUGUGUCUCCAUUCCUUAUCCCCAUGUCCAGCUGACGAUCUAGCUGAUCCCUCACCUUGGAGAAGGUUUUGUGUAUGUCUGAGGAAAAACUGCAAGAACUGUGCCGUGGUAAAAUGAUAGUGGUGGUCUCUUUGUUGCUGUUGACAGGCUGCUAGAUUACUGGAUUACUGGCUUUGUUUCUUGGAAAGCUAAGCACGCCAAAAAGGAUGGACUUGCAAGCCACUUCACAACCAUACCUACUGGAGCCUCUCUUUAGGAAAUUCAGCCCACAUGCAUUGAAGAUAUGGAAAACCUGGUGUUGUGUGGACAUGUGCUUUUGUUAUCCCUCUGAUGUAACUUUCAAAUUGCUACAGUUCAUCUUUCACAAUUCUUAGGAUCUGGUCUGUCACUGGGCUGCUUAUCUUCUUUGCAAGCCAGUGCUUUUGUCUUCUUACCCAGUACAAUGGUAGUGGACUUUGGAGAAAAAAUCAGCUACUCUGCUUCCUGCAUUUUCACCAUAACAUAACCUGAAGUGGGACAGAAGCAUCAGAAAUACAGCACAGAGGUGAAAAGAGUAAUUUGUUUCAUGGGAGAUGUCAUUGUUUUCAGUUCCCAGCUGUCCUUCUAGAACAUGUAGGCCAGCUCAUCCAAAACUCAAGUUCAUAUUGUGAUAAUUCGAUAUUGUGUUAGGAAUAUUUCUAGUGGGGAUAAUGUGUUUUAUGGCAUUAUAUUAAGAGUAACAGUAAGCAAAAACAUACACUCUCCCACUUAACUCUGCCAAAAGAAAACUCCACUAUGGUUAUUCAUCUGAUGCAUCUUGGAGGCUUCAAGGCCUUCGUAGAUGUCAGGGUUAAUGCAAGACAGACUUUGCUGAAGGAACCAGGUGGCUGCAGUACCACCUCUCUACUGCUUUCUUUUCCCCCCCAAAAUGCUGACUUCAAAUUGUUUCUUAUGUGCCUGGCUGCUGGAAGAGAGCCUCAUAGUUGUGGUCUGCUAGUUCAACAAUUACUACGCUGCCCAAAUGUGAAAGCAAGCAUGGAGGGUAGGUUCUCCCUGACUUCUGUGGGAUCUGGAGCAAAUCCAUGAGGAAUGCUACUGUUUUCAACACUUUUUUUUGCUAUGCCUGAGAACAGGCACACAGAUUCAAAUGUUGUUGCAGCUGCCACAUACUACAUGUAAACCACAUGUUGAUCAUUAUUGGUUUAAAUGAGAAAGUCUUUGUUUAAAAUGAUUGUUUUCUUCUAUUCAGAACCUACCUGUUUUUCUAUAUGAUAUUUGAAAGUUUGUGUUUUUAAUGUCAUUAAUUUACAUAUCACAGAUUGUAUUUAGAGAAAAGACUACCCAGAUAUAUAUUUAUUUACUUCAUAAACAGCUUUGUAAUUACAGGGACCUAGCCCCUAAUUAGUUGAAACAAAUCAGACAAUUCAUUCUUCAAUUGUUUGUAUUAAUUUAUGUUGUGGUUUAUUAAUUGUAGCUCUGCUUCAACCCCCUUCCCAAAUAACAGUACUCUAAUUUAAAAUGUAAUGAACUGUCUUGCAUUUCUGAGAACUGCAUGGUCAAAUGAUGUUAAUCCUGCCACCCUGCUGAAUGCCAUGUCACGGUGCCAAUAUUUGGACUGAGAAUUGAUUGCUAGCUUUGGUAAUACUGGAAAAGGAAGAAUGAUGCAGACACACCAACUACAUCUAAACUAUGAAAUAAAAUCAUUAGAGCUUUUUCCUGGAAACCAACAGGAAUGAAAGAGCUUGCAGUAACACAGCUGAACUCUUACUACUCUCCAAAUCACAGCAUCCACAUUCUCUACUGGAGAUGGUCCCUGAUACAGGCUAAUACCCAAACUGUGCUUUCACAUUGCCUGGAAGAACACAAUCUAGCUUGAACUAAAAUUAUGCCAGGGCCCAAUUUAGUAGUAGGCACGAAACCAUUUGUGUGCCUUGGUGGUCCUGUUAAGUUUAUUAGUGUCAGAAUGAAACCUCAGUCACACUAGCAAAAGUCAACAGAAAACCUUUAUUGGCCUCAGUGAUCAGAAGAUGCUGAGAGUUAUAAUUAUUAGCUUGUUCACUUCCUUCAUAUUUAUGUUCUUUUUAUUCCCUCAUUCUGGCUAUUACCAAAAUAAUAGUGAAAUAAACAAUUUUUCAGUCUCGUAGAGUAAUGAAAUUGGGUUGUUGCCUGACCCAAACUUGCUGUUAGUUUUGAGCAAUCCUCUGGGUUAAGAAACAGGUAAAGGUUCUGGAAAGCUGCAAAGUGUUGAGACACAAACACACCAGGUGCAUAAGUACACAAAAAUGAUGGGAACAUAAAAUGCCUUUUAAUUUCUAUGGCUUUCUUUUUUUUUUUGGCUUUUUUUUUUUUUUUUUUCUUUUUUUCUUCACAAAACGAGGAAGAGAAUUUGUUUUGAACUCUGUGAAAUGGACAUGAGUGCAUUCACCCCAGUGUCAGGAUACAUUCAGUGUAGCGCAGAAGGAGGGUGUGUGUAAGCCUGAAGUAUUCUACAGGGAUGGCUGUGUUAAUUUG